UGAAUACUGGAGGAACAAUUGAUAAACUCACAUUUGGGAAAGGGACCCAUGUAUUCAUUAUAUCUG